UACGAAGGGGGCUAGCGUUGCUCGGAAUCACUGGGCGUAAAGGGUUCGUAGGCGGGUCUUUAAGUCAGGGGUGAAAUCCUGGAGCUCAACUCCAGAACUGCCUUUGAUACUGAAGAUCUUGAGUUCGGGAGAGGUGAGUGGAACUGCGAGUGUAGAGGUGAAAUUCGUAGAUAUUCGCAAGAACACCCGUGGCGAAGGCGGCUCUCUGGGACGGUACUGACGCUGAGACGCGAAAGCGUGGGGAGCGAACAGG
rnacentral:rRNA from 1 species